rnacentral:rRNA from 1 species
GACGAACGCUGGCGGCGUGCUUAACACAUGCAAGUCGAACGGAAAGGCCCUGCUUUUGUGGGGUGCUCGAGUGGCGAACGGGUGAGUAACACGUGAGUAACCUGCCCUUGACUUUGGGAGAACUUCAGGAAACUGGGGCUAAUACCGGAUAGGAGCUCCUGCUGCAGGGGGGGGGUUGGAAAGUUUCGGCGGUGUGGGAUGGACUCGCGGCUUAUCAGCUUGUUGGUGGGGUAGUGGCUUACCAAGGCUUUGACGGGUAGCCGGCAUGAGAGGGUGACCGGCCACAUUGGGACUGAGAUACGGCCCAGACUCCUACGGGAGGCAGAAGUGGGGAAUAUUGCAGAAUGGGCGGACGCCUGAUGCAGCAACGCCGCGUGCGGGAUGACGGCCUUCGGGUUGUAAACCGCUUUCGCCUGUGACGAAGCGUGAGUGACGGUAAUGGGUAAAGAAGCACCGGCUAACUACGUG